rnacentral:rRNA from 1 species
GAUCAUGGCUCAGGAUGAACGCUAGCUACAGGCUUAACACAUGCAAGUCGAGGGGCAGCAUGAACUUAGCUUGCUAAGUUUGAUGGCGACCGGCGCACGGGUGAGUAACACGUAUCCAACCUGCCGAUGACUCGGGGAUAGCCUUUCGAAAGAAAGAUUAAUACCCGAUGGCAUAGUUCUUCCGCAUGGUAGAACUAUUAAAGAAUUUCGGUCAUCGAUGGGGAUGCGUUCCAUUAGGUUGUUGGCGGGGUAACGGCCCACCAAGCCUUCGAUGGAUAGGGGUUCUGAGAGGAAGGUCCCCCACAUUGGAACUGAGACACGGUCCAAACUCCUACGGGAGGCAGCAGUGAGGAAUAUUGGUCAAUGGGCGAGAGCCUGAACCAGCCAAGUAGCGUGAAGGAUGAAGGUCCUACGGAUUGUAAACUUCUUUUAUACGGGAAUAAAGUAUCCUACGUGUAGGAUUUUGUAUGUACCGUAUGAAUAAGCAUCGGCUAACUCCGUG